AGAGUGUUUUAAGUUCAACAGAGUGUAGUUCCCAAUUCCAUCUCUUAGUGGGGAGCUGAGCUGUUGCAACCAUCAUAAUGGCAAUGGCAUGGCUAGAGCUUUAUUAUGUCAUCUUCAGGUCCCCUAAGUUAUUUAAGAUGCUAAAAGCCUAGCUCUUCAUGGCUUCCUUGAAAUUGGAACUUCUAGGAAACAAUCUGUCCAACAGCUGGCUCUGGCAGACAGGAGAGACCAUCUGGAUUUCAGAUACGUGGAGGAACAGCAGAUACUCAGCACUACAGAUAACCAGUUGUUGGACUAUGGGCUAUGAAGUGGCUUUCAAGGCUGUUUUAAGCCUGCUGCCUGCUCUUCUUACAACCACACCUACUUCAGAAGAAAAAAUAUUAUUAUGCAGUUUAGCUAAGCCAGGUAGAGAGAUAAAAAUGCAGUCGGCUUUUAAAUUGGGAAAGCAUCUGACCUAACAACAGGAAAUCUAUUAAAAGAUGUCAAGGAAUUCAGGGCAGUCAACAUGAAACAGGGACCUGGUAGGCUAUGCCAGUCAUGCUACUGCAGAACAAUGACAUCUCUACACCUGAAACGGAAUAAGAUUUCUACAGUAACUAUUUCAUCUCAACUCCCAAGAGAGUCACUUUACCCCAGAAAACUGGUGGGGAGUUGUUUUUGUUUUGUGUCUGCUAAGGUAUUUUUUACCCCAGGAGAACUACUUCAGGUAGUUCUCAAAAACUCUCAGAAAGUUCUUCAGAAACCCAAUUCUAUGCUACAGCAGCACCAAUGUAGGGAGACACAGCAGCCUGUGCCUCCAGUGCAGCUGUUUCAGGACAUCUCUCUGUGCAGACAAGUGCUUUCAAGAGAGCUGAGGCAAAGACUUGCAGAGAGCUCUGCACAAGGCUCUACCAGCAGUAUCACAGAACUGAGAUGUGUUCCCAAACCUGACAGAGAUGGAGUUGUGUCUAACCAUGAGACAACUAAAUUGUGGGUAUUUUUCAGUUAUAUCUGUUAAAAAUGUGCUGGAAAAGAUAGGUAGUAGAAGAACAUGCCACCUAUACCAACCAAAAUGUUUUCUAAAUUUUUCCUAAGAAACAUAUUUGUCUGGUCUUGCUGCAGGUGUUUCUUCACUGCUAAAUAUGAAGGGAAGAGGCAACCUUCAAAUAAUUCACUUUAGGAAGUAGCAGUCCACAUUACAAGUUACAGCUUUUCCAUUUCUCUGUUAUGAAAACAAAACAAAACAAAAAUAAUCCCACAAAACCAAGAGAAUAACAUCUGCAAUACCAUAAAACUCAGAGCAGUUGUAGAGAAGUAUAGCAGAGAGAAAUGGCUUUAGAAAUGUAUGUCUACACAUGUACAGUUUGAAAACCAGAAUUAUCCAUGUUGAGCAGAACCAGCAGUGGACUUCCAACACUUUCAGGUUUCCUGACACACCACAGGGAGAUCUGCAUGGAUAGGGAGAAAGACAUUUCUUUUACACCGAGCAACUUAAAUCCAGGAUGUUUCCAUGUAGAUCUCUUUGAAAGAAAGUCGUGUUACAUUUCUGCAGCAGAACUAUCUUGAUGAUCUUCUGCAGGGUGAAUUCCAGAUAUGGUUUUGAGCAGGUAACUCUCUGCAAGCACCACUAUGUUAGUUCUACCUGCCACCAUCUGUUAGAAAGGUCUCUCCAUGUUUCCUUUGGCUAUAAGAAGCAUUGAAGUGUUUCAGAAGACCACUGUCCCAAAUGGAUGCUGCCAUCCCCUGCCUAUUUGCAUUUCAAUUAACUCUGCAGUCUGAGCUGCCUCACCAAAUGAGAGCUGACAAAGUAACAGUCAUUAUGCUGCUUCCAGUGGGUAUGAAAUAUGUCAUAAGCUGUGAAAGGCAGGAUUUUUCCAACCCAUCUACACCUUUGAAACAGCAGCCUCAUCCAAUAAAUGUCAAAGCCACUAUAUUUUUUGCUUUCAGUUCAGUCUUUAGAAAGAUUUCUUUUCUCAGAGAUUGUUUCUGCACUUAAAGAGGAACAAAAGCAUAUUUAAUGUCUAGAGACUCAUGCGUUGCUUCAGAAAGAAAAAAAAACACAGGACUCCAACAUAAUGCUUUAAUACCAGUCUCUGCCCUCAGCAUUUUUAUUUAAGCCAGCUGAAACAAUCUUGAUCCUGCCCAUCAUUUUGCAAUAUUACACUUUUGAGCCCAGAUUUGUGUUUGUCAUACAUUAAAACAGUUUCCUGAACAGUUCAUAAAAUUCAGUGGUAGGUAUCCAAAAGCUGUGGCUGGGGUUAUAGGAACUACAAGUGUCAGAGAACUGAGCAUUUCAGGAAGAAGAACAGGAGGUGAAUUGUGUGGGGGUGAGGGGAGGAAGUCAGUCAUAUGCAAGGCAGGUCCAUGGCACUUAAAAGCCACAAAGCUAUCAUUUUGUGCGUAGAGUUACUGGAUUUCAAAGGAGUUUUUACAGAACCUGCCCUUAUCCUUUUUUCUUCAUGUAUCUUUGGCUUUCUUUAAAAAUAAAUUUUAAAAGAAAAAAAAGAAAAAAAGGAAAAAAAAAGAAAAAAAAAUAAAAAGGAGUGCUGCUAUGUUUAAAUUUCUCCUACCACAAAGUCAAUUUGACAAAUAAGGCAUAAGUCCAGCAUACAGAGAAAUCCUUUCCAUUCCCAUGGGCUUUUGACUUUUCCUAUGAGACUGCACUAUUUAUGUAAAUAUACUUGGAGACACUUUCUAUAAGCUUUUAGUUUUCUAUGAUCUAUUACUUUAGUGUUUAUUAAAGAUACAAACUUAUAGAACUAUUAAGCAUUCAGGUGAACACAACAAAGAAAGAACACUGCAAACACAAAAUCGUUCUGGAUUUUGACACAUAAAAAACUCUUCAGAAUCACUGUACUGUUUUAAUUCUGUGAUAAUUUUCAUUGCUUUGAAAAAAUUAAACUUAAAAGAAAGGCCUUAUAAUAAAUGCUAUGUGCAUCUUAACUGUGUUACUGAGCGAAAUCAAUCUGGCAAACUCCUAUUGCGAUUUGUGAUUUUUUUUAAACCCUUUAAAAUAAAUGCUCUUUGGUAUUGAUUUUUUUUUAAUUAAAAAUACUUCCAAGCAUAAAUUGAAAAUGAUGCCUCCACCUGGGAAGAUUUACUUGCUGGCAUGCUCCAGCCACACAGUCUCUCAUGAUGUCAUCCCCUGGUUGUGCCAAGGGAGCCUCAGCAUUGGAUGGAUCUGUCAUUGCUCAGCAGAGAGCAAUGAGACAUUUGUGGGUGACAAUUUUGUCACCCAAGAGGUUUACACCUAUAACUUCCCUGUGUUGCAGAGGGACCCAUGCUGGAAUGAUAAUCUCUUCUGCAGCGUGGAUGGGCAAUUUUGUUUUUGUCAGAUAGAAAGUGUGCACUCUCUCCCUUAUAUUUCCUGUUCACUGUACUGGCUUCUUUUUUGGGGGGGUUGGGGGGGGCAGGGGGAAAUGAAAUUUAAGGAUUUGAUGAGAAACCAAUUUGAGCAACAAUUUCUCACAGACAGAGUGAAUUUGCCUUUUUGCAAAUUGAUUUUUGUAACAAGUUAUUUAUAUGAUAUUACUUAAUAAAUUGUUUUUUCUAA